GGAAGUUAAGUUUAACUAGUAUCGUUAACGAUUGGUCAACUAACUUUAGAUCAAUACUAAUUAUAUAACAUAGUACAGUAAUGGAAUCUCAAAUAUUUACAAAACUCCCAACGGUAUAGAAUUUUUGAUCGGGGUUCUUAAAAGAGACGUAUGGCACAACAAAAAAUGAAUUUUUUAAAAGAUAUAUAUAUAAAAAAAAAUAAUUUAUACUGUAGUUGUUGUAGGUGAUUUUCGUCUUUUCUUUCUGUGACACGAACUGAAUACAUAAAGCGAUGCUUUAGGAUGUUCCGUACAGCUAAGACGACAUCAGAAAACAUCCACGAUGUAAACCUGGCUGUCACUCACACUAGACACUUCUCCUUGUCCAGUUAUGUUCCUUUUUUCAAAAAUUGUUCAGAUAGAUAUGACUGCUCCUACCACUCUGUGCAAUUCUCCAGUACCCAAGCGAAUUCGCCAAACAUAUCCCCAACGUUGAUAACACAAAAAGGAAGCUGAGGAUAAACAGGGUCACUGUAAGCUCUGCCACGUAUUUUUUUUUAUUUUAUCUCUCUCUCUCUCUCUCUCUCUCUCC
rnacentral:lncRNA from 1 species